GACAUCGUAGCUCAGCGGAUAAAGCGUGCUCUGUACAAAAGCAUAGGUGGCGUCCAUGCGUGGAUUCGAAUCCCACCGAGGUCA
rnacentral:tRNA from 1 species